GCGGCUCCAGCUCCCCAGAUGCACCGGCUCCCGAAAACGAAGCUGAUCCAUAGGUUUUUAGGUCUCUCUUGGAUUGACUCAAGACGGAGGUGCCCCAUGUCUUUCGUAAAGCCAAUCAGUGUGUGGACGGUUUAGCUAGUUUAUCUAGUUCUAGUAGUCAUUUAGUUGUAAUUCAAUCUUUCCCUAAUUGCCUUGAGCAGAUGUAGUUGGAUUAUGCUAGGGAAAUUUUAUUCCCCAGGACUCGGUUUUAUAGUUUGUAUCUGUUCCAGUUAAAUCAAAAGAAAAAUUGGAGUAUUCAGAAAAAGGCUAUAUAUUUCUUGAUGUAUAAUCAAAGGGAGGUGUUGGGUUUUGUUUCUCAAACUUC